rnacentral:rRNA from 1 species
GAUGAACGCUGGCGGCGUGCCUAAUACAUGCAAGUCGAGCGAACGGACGAGAAGCUUGCUUUUCUGAUGUUAGCGGCGGACGGGUGAGUAACACGUGGAUAACCUACCUAUAAGACUGGGAUAACUUCGGGAAACCGGAGCUAAUACCGGAUAAUAUUUUGAACCGCAUGGUUCAAAAGUGAAAGACGGUCUUGCUGUCACUUAUAGAUGGAUCCGCGCUGCAUUAGCUAGUUGGUAAGGUAACGGCUUACCAAGGCAACGAUGCAUAGCCGACCUGAGAGGGUGAUCGGCCACACUGGAUCUGCGACACGGUCCAGACUCCUACGGGAGGCAGCAGUAGGGAAUCUUCCGCAAUGGGCGAAAGCCUGCCGGAGCAACGCCGCGUGAGUGAUGAAGGUCUUCGGAUCGUAAAACUCUGUUAUUAGGGAAGAACAUAUGUGUAAGUAACUGUGCACAUCGUGACGGUACCUAAUCAGAAAGCCACGGCUAACUACGUG